rnacentral:rRNA from 1 species
GACGAACGCUGGCGGCGUGCUUAACACAUGCAAGUCGAACGGAAAGGCCCUGCUUUUGUGGGGUGCUCGAGUGGCGAACGGGUGAGUAACACGUGAGUAACCUGCCCUUGACUUUGGGAUAACUUCAGGAAACUGGGGCUAAUACCGGAUAGGAGCUCCUGCUGCAUGGUGGGGGUUGGAAAGUUUCGGCGGUUGGGGAUGGACUCGCGGCUUAUCAGCUUGUUGGUGGGGUAGUGGCUUACCAAGGCUUUGACGGGUAGCCGGCCUGGGAGGGUGACCGGCCACAUUGGGACUGAGAUACGGCCCAGACUCCUACGGGAGGCAGCAGUGGAGAAUAUUGCACAAUGGGCGGAAGCCUGAUGCAGCAACGCCGCGUGCGGGAUGACGGCCUUCGGGUUGUAAACCGCUUUCGCCUGUGACGAAGCGUGAGUGACGGUAAUGGGUAAAGAAGCACCGGCUAACUACGUG